rnacentral:rRNA from 1 species
AUCGACUAUCAGUUAGUUGGUAGUGUAAUGCGACUACCAAGACGAUGACGGGUAACGGGGAAUCAGGGUUUGAUACCGGAGAGGGAGCCUGAGAGAUUAGCUCCCACGUCCAUGGACGGCAGCAGGCGCGAAAAUUGCCCACUCUUUGUAGGAGGCAGUUAUGAGACGUGAAAUUGAAGAUUUUGUAAAGAAGAAUAGGAGAAUUGGAGGGCAAGUUUGGUGCCAGCCGCCGCGGUAAUACCGACUCCAAGAGUGUGUAUGAGAGAUGCUGCAGUUAAAAAGUCCGUAUGUCAUAGAAAGAUAAAUAGGGAUGAGAAGUCUCUUAAAUUAGCUAUAGAAAAGCCGAUGGGGAACAUAGUAUACCAGGGCGAGAGAUGAAAUGCCAAGACCCCUGGUGGACUAAGCGAGGCGAAAGCGAUGUUCUUGUAGGUAUUUGAUGAUCAAGGACGAAGGCUGGAGUAUCGAAAGUGAUUAGAUACCGCAGUAGUUCCAGCUGUAAAAGAUGCCGACAUGUUCAUUGGCCACA